GCAAUCAAUACUUUACAGCUUCCUGGGAGCAGUGUUUGCAGAUCUCUCCCAGCUGGCAAGAUUAAUCUAUGCUCAAGGCAAAUGGAUGGGAUGCAGACUUCACUUACUCAACACUGAAGAAAUGCAGGAGGAGAGUCCACGGGGGUGUAAUCUCAGCUUGCUAAGGUGAUUCUUAGGCUGCGUUAACAUAAAUCACAGGCCAGAGGCAAGAAGCUGAAACCCCUGGUGCAGACCAGUGCUAGAAAGUUUGAGUUUAGCAUCAACAAAAUGUAUUGAUUUAUUUGCUGCCUGCAGAACAAAGUGCCAAAGGUCCUGUUGGCUUAGGUGUGUUGUAGUCUGGCACUGCUGCAAAAAAGCACAGAAUAUGGGUGAAGACCAGAGCAAUGAGGAAGACUGCAGAGAAAUUGCCAACAUGACUGACAAAGCUCAUAGGGUUAGAAGUGAUUGUUUGUUGCCACGUUUCCUUUUCAUUGUAAUAUAAAUCCUACCUUUUGAAUCCAUUGAGAGAUUCUGCAAGCCCAUGUCACAAGAACCACUUGAAAGAGAUUCAUCCCAUACGACAAGGGAGAUUAAGACAGAGGAUUUAUUAGUCACAUAGACAUGGAAGGAGCUGGGGAAGGAGGGAAAAAAGGAGAUAGCGAUUUUGUUAAAGGAGAAAGCAUCCAACUGUGCUGUGGAACAAGCUUUGUUCUUUGCCUUCAAGAGUGGGAGGGUGAUGCAUCUCCAGAGUGAUUUUGGUACCAUGGCUCUUCCAUCAGCAGGAUCAAAAGUGACUGGAAAGAAUCCAAGGCAAAAAACAGGACCAACAAAAUAGGAAAUAAAGCAAAAUAAAUAGGAAAUGUAGAGGAAUGGUCAACAUACCAUCACCCCCAAAACAAGCAGCACCAAUUACCCUCGUGCAGAAAACUGAACAGCCCACAGAUCAGGCUGGCACUCAGCAAGUGUCAUCCUAUAGUACAUGCCAGGGUGCCGGCAGAACUUGCUAAGUGGUUUGAGAGAGGAUGGACAGCAAUGCACUGAAAGCAUAUUACAUGCCAGGACCAGGAUUAUACUCAGCCCUCCUCCAGAAAAAAAAUGGGCUGAUCCAAGGAAGGGGAAAGGGGGCAAAGUAGUAGAAAAUCAAAAGAGGGGUAAUGGCAGGUGUGGAAAGUCAUAGGCCAUGCAACACAUUUCAAGAACAGCAGCAACAAGUACACGCUCAAGCUUCCUCCUUUUGUCAAACAAGGCCUUGACUGCCUACCCCUUAGCGUGGUAGUUGCUACAUGGUUCACUACAUGGACGAGCUUUCUUCCAAGAUAGGGCAGGAAGCUGUGAUUGUGGCUACUGCUCCUUCUGUCUAGUGAGUUAAGCGGGCAAAAUGGAUUAUCCAAACUGUGAUCAAAGUGAAUUCCUUUUUAAAGAGAAACAGCUUUCUGUCACAAAUAGCGAGAGGUUUCUUCACUGAGAAGGCAGCGAUAAGUGCUAAGCGUUGUCAUUUGGAUGCCAUAAAAUUAGUUCCCACAGAUGCAAAUGGUCUAUUAUAAAGAUUGACAUUCUGGAACAGAAGUAAUUUGAAUUAGCCUAGGUUUUCAUAUGGCCAUUAAUCUUUAAAAAUCAGUCCUUCUACAGGCACGGGAAUACAAGGAUCAAAUGCAAAUUACCAAUAUAAAACACAAAUACUUUCAAGUAGUCAUUUCUUCACAGUACUAUAAAUGG